AGAGUUUGAUUAUGGCUCAGGAUGAACGCUAGCUACAGGCUUAACACAUGCAAGUCGAGGGGCAGCAUUGGAGUAGCAAUACUUCAGAUGGCGACCGGCGCGACGGGUGAGUAACACGUAUCCAACCUGCCGCUUACUCGGGGAUAGCCUUUCGAAAGAAAGAUUAAUACCCGAUGGUAUAAAGAGUUCGCAUGUUCUCUUUAUUAAAGAAUUUCGGUAAGCGAGUGGGGAUGCGUUCCAUUAGAUAGUUGGCGGGGUAACGGCCCACCAAGUCUACGAUGGAUAGGGGUUCUGAGAGGAAGGUCCCCCACAUUGGAACUGAGACACGGUCCAAACUCCUACGGGAGGCAGCAGUGAGGAAUAUUGGUCAAUGGACGAGAGUCUGAACCAGCCAAGUAGCGUGAAGGAUGACUGCCCUAUGGGUUGUAAACUUCUUUUAUAAGGGAAUAAAGUGAGGGACGUGUCCCUUUUUGUAUGUACCUUAUGAAUAAGGAUCGGCUAACUCCGUGCCAGCAGCUGC
rnacentral:rRNA from 1 species